AACGAACGCUGGCGGCAGGCCUAACACAUGCAAGUCGAGCGCGCCCUUCGGGGUGAGCGGCGGACGGGUUAGUAACGCGUGGGAAUAUACCCGACACUAAGGAAUAGCCUCUGGAAACGGAGAGUAAUACCUUAUACGCCCUUCGGGGAAAGAUUUAUCGGUGACGGAUUAGCCCGCGUUAGAUUAGAUAGUUGGUGGGGUAAUGGCCUACCAAGUCUACGAUCUAUAGCUGGUUUUAGAGGAUGAUCAGCAACACUGGGACUGAGACACGGCCCAGACUCCUACGGGAGGCAGCAGUGGGGAAUCUUCGGCAAUGGGCGCAAGCCUGACCGAGCCAUGCCGCGUGAGCGAUGAAGGCCUUAGGGUUGUAAAGCUCUUUCGCCAGGGAUGAUAAUGACAGUACCUGGUAAAGAAACCCCGGCUAACUCCGU
rnacentral:rRNA from 1 species